UGGGGAAUUUUGGACAAUGGGCGAAAGCCUGAUCCAGCAAUGCCGCGUGUGUGAAGAAGGCCUUCGGGUUGUAAAGCACUUUUGUCCGGAAAGAAAUCCUUGGCUCUAAUACAGUCGGGGGAUGACGGUACCGGAAGAAUAAGCACCGGCUAACUACGUGCCAGCAGCCGCGGUAAUACGUAGGGUGCAAGCGUUAAUCGGAAUUACUGGGCGUAAAGCGUGCGCAGGCGGUUUGCUAAGACCGAUGUGAAAUCCCCGGGCUCAACCUGGGAACUGCAUUGGUGACUGGCAGGCUAGAGUAUGGCAGGAGGGGGGUAGAAUUCCACGUGUAGCAGUGAAAUGCGUAGAGAUGUGGAGGAAUACGAUGGCGAAGGCAGCCCCCUGGGCCAAAUACUGACGCUCAUGCACGAAAGCGUGGGGAGCAAACAGGAUUAGAUACCCUGGUAGUCCACGCCCU
rnacentral:rRNA from 1 species